rnacentral:rRNA from 1 species
UACAGGGGGGGCAAGCGUUGUUCGGAAUUACUGGGCGUAAAGGGUUCGUAGGUGGCCAACUUAGUCAGACGUGAAAUCCCUCAGCUUAACUGGGGAACUGCGUCUGAUACUGGAUGGCUUGAGUGCAGGAGAGGAACGCGGAAUUCCAGGUGUAGCGGUGAAAUGCGUAGAUAUCUGGAGGAACACCAAUGGUGAAAACAGGUCGCUGGGGAUGAGCUGACGCUGAGACACGAAAGCCAGGGGAGCAAACGGG